GGAUCAUUACAAGAAGCCGAAAGGCUACUUCAAACCAUCGCGAACUCGUCCAAGUUGCUUCGGCGGCGCGGCACCCCUUAACGGGGGCGCCGCAGCCCUGCCUCUCCGGAGGUUUGGGGCGCCCGCCGGAGGUACGAAACUCUGUAUUAUAGUGGCAUCUCUGAGUAUAAAACAAAUAAGUUAAAACUUUCAACAACGGAUCUCUUGGUUCUGGCAUCGAUGAAGAACGCAGCGAAAUGCGAUAAGUAAUGUGAAUUGCAGAAUUCAGUGAAUCAUCGAAUCUUUGAACGCACAUUGCGCCCGGUAGUACUCUACCGGGCAUGCCUGUUCGAGCGUCAUUUCAACCCUCAAGCCCUGCUUGGUGUUGGGGCCCUACGGCUGCCGUAGGCCCUGAAAGGAAGUGGCGGGCUCGCUACAACUCCGAGCGUAGUAAUUCAUUAUCUCGCUAGGGAGGUUGCGGCGUGCUCCUGCCGUUAAAGACCCAUCUUUAACCAAGGUUGACCUCGGAUCAGGUAGGAAUACCCGCUGAACUUAAGCAUAUCAAUAAGCGGAGGAAAAGAAACCAACAGGGAUUGCCCUAGUAACGGCGAGUGAAGCGGCAACAGCUCAAAUUUGAAAUCUGGCUUCGGCCCGAGUUGUAAUUUGUAGAGGAUGCUUUUGGUGAGGUGCCUUCUGAGUUCCCUGGAACGGGACGCCAGAGAGGGUGAGAGCCCCGUAUAGUCGGCCACCGAUCCUUUGUAAAGCUCCUUCGACGAGUCGAGUAGUUUGGGAAUGCUGCUCAAAAUGGGAGGUAUAUCUCUUCUAAAGCUAAAUAUAGGCCAGAGACCGAUAGCGCACAAGUAGAGUGAUCGAAAGAUGAAAAGCACUUUGAAAAGAGGGUUAAAUAGCACGUGAAAUUGUUGAAAGGGAAGCGCUUGUGACCAGACUUGUGCCGGGCUGAUCAUCCAGUGUUCUCACUGGUGCACUCGACCCGGCUCAGGCCAGCGUCGGUUUUCGUGGGGGGAUAAAAGCUUCGGGAACGUGGCACCUUCGGGUGUGUUAUAGCCCGUUGCUUAAUACCUCCGUGGAGACCGAGGU
rnacentral:rRNA from 1 species